GUGAAAGUUUCUUGUUUCAAUAAAGCUGUUAGGUUUGGCAUGAAGACUGUUAUCAGAUGGUUCCUUUGACAUUACUUGAGCCUUUCACUUUGGGGACUGCAGGAGAGGCAUUUAAGGUGUAGAAGACAACUCCGACCCCACACUGAUCACGGAUGUUCUGCUUUUAAAGAUGAGUGAGCCAGCCAAGCUGUAAGGCUAAUCACUCUGGGAUAUCCCGUCUCGCUGCAGAAACAAAACAUGGAAAUGAAUCAGUCGAUAAAGGAUUUUCUCCUAUUAACGAUGUUGGCGAUUUUGUCCCAUGGAGGGGAAGUGGACCAUUAAGAUGAAUGUUCAAAAUCUAUAGAGAUCGCAGUUACUCCCUCACCCCCUGCAGCUGGAUGCAAACUUUUGUGUGUGUGAUAAAGAAUGUCAAGCUAAAGUUAAAUGCAUUUUAUCUAAGUAUGGUAAUAAAUCACCACCUAGAGU
ensembl:lncRNA